UUAUUCAUUUUACUACAGAGCACCUUGUCUGUCAUUUUCUCUGAACUGUUAGCUCCAUAACAACAGGGCUCUGGCUGUUCUUAUGUAUUCUUAGUGCCUGUAAGUAUAUGCGGCACAUAGUGGUGCUUGAAAAUUGUGAAAGGGAGUUACAUUGGACCCCACCUACACUUUAAACAGAAAAUUAACAGGUUUCCCAGGCAGCUGCAGACUUGAAACAGUUCUGUCUGCAGAAUGCUCAACAUGACCCUCUGCUGACUGGAGUAUCUUCAAGUACAAAUCCCUUCAGACCCCAGAAAGUCUGUUCCUUUUUGUAGUAAAAUGAAUCUUUCAAAGGUUUCCCAAACCACUCCUUAUGAUCCAGUGAAUAUUCAAGAGAGCUACAUUUGAAGCCUGUACAAAAGCUUAUCCCUGUAACACGUGCCAUAAUAUACAAACUUCUACUUUCGUCAGUCCUUAACAUCUACCUCUCUGAAUUUUCAUGAAUUUCUAUUUCACAAGGGUAAUUGUUUUAUAUACACUGGCAGCAGCAUACAAUAAAACUUAGUAUGAAACUUU
rnacentral:sRNA from 1 species